AACGUAGGUGGCGAGCGUUAUCCGGAUUUACUGGGCGUAAAGCGUGUGCAGGCGGGGAUACAAGUGGUGUAUGAAAUUUCCCAGCUUAACUGGGAAGGGUUAUGCCAGACUGUAUUUCUGGAGUGCGAGAGAGGGGCGUGGAAUUCCGGGUGUAGUGGUGAAAUGCGUAGAUAUCUGGAGGAACAUCGGUGGCGAAGGCGGCAUCCUGGACCAUUACUGACACUGAACCGCGAAAGCUAGGGGAGCAAACGGG
rnacentral:rRNA from 1 species